ACGCUCGACACCUACGGGUGGCAGCAGUGGGGAAUAUUGCACAAUGGGGGAAACCCUGAUGCAGCGACGCCGCGUGAAGGAAGAAGUAUUUCGGUAUGUAAACUUCUAUCAGCAGGGAAGAAAAUGACGGUACCUGAGUAAGAAGCACCGGCUAAAUACGUGCCAGCAGCCGAGGUAAUCUGAGCGGGCUGGCAAGGC
rnacentral:rRNA from 1 species